UACGUAGGGUGCAAGCGUUAUCCGGAAUUAUUGGGCGUAAAGAGCUCGUAGGCGGUUUGUCGCGUCUGCUGUGAAAACUGGAGGCUCAACCUCCAGCCUGCAGUGGGUACGGGCAAACUAGAGUGCGGUAGGGGAGAUUGGAAUUCCUGGUGUAGCGGUGGAAUGCGCAGAUAUCAGGAGGAACACCGAUGGUGAAGGCAGAUCUCUGGGCCGUAACUGACGCUGAGGAGCGAAAGCAUGGGGAGCGAACAGG
rnacentral:rRNA from 1 species